UUCCCCUGCAUAAGGAUGAACCGUUUU
rnacentral:snRNA from 1 species